ensembl:lncRNA
GCCCACCGGCUCCCGAUCCCCCCCCCAUCCCGGCCGCGCGCCCUCUCGCCAGCCCUGAGGCCAGGCGGGGGCUGCGCUGGGGGUCCCCGGCCCGAGCCCGCGCCGCACCGCGCUCACCCCCCAGAGGAUGCUGGCUGCAACUUGGAUCUGGGGAGGGAAGGUCCUAGAAGCCAAGCGCCUCCCGGCUAUUUGCUCUUCUUUAUUUGUUUUCUCCUCCCGGAAAGGAGGAGGAAAGCGCAGAGAAAAGGAAAGGGAAGGACGGAAGCGGCGCGGGCCGCUGCUCCGGUGCCCUCCGGCUGCGCAGGAGCGAGGCGGGAGGCGAGAUACUUCUCACUACAAAUCGGCUCUCUCCAGGGAUUAGCGGCUACGCGAAAGUGCAUACUGGCGCUGCGGGCAAUCGAGGGGGCCGGGCAAGGCAGGCACUCCCCAGCCCAGCCCCAUGCCACCCGGGAGGCGCGGGGGUCCCGAGGCCGGUGCGGUGAUUCCACCCGCCCUAGCCUUCCUCCUCCGCCCCUUCCACGUGGGGCCCGCCACGUGGGGAGACGCGAGCUCCAGCGGGCCUGGCCGCGGUCCCCCGGGUGGCCCCGGCUCGGUAGGGCCCCACCACGCCCGCGCAGCAGACCUGCCCUCUACUCGGCCCCGAGGCUCCAACUUCCUCCUGGGCCCUGCGCAGGCCACCGGUGCCGUCCCAGGCCCGCGAGGUCAGGCGCGGGCCGGCCACAGGGGGCACUUGCGUUCCCCGAUCCCAGAUCCGGGAGACCGUGCCGGCUGCGGGUGCGCGCGGAGACUGUUCUGUGUGCUGGAACUUGCCGCGGUGUGUUCGCUAUGAGAAGCCAAGUGUUUUUACAUAUUUUUUUAAAAAAAAUGUCUUUCUACUGUCUGUAUGUCGCUGGGGCUAUUUUGAAAGCCUUGCCUUGGGUCGGAUCCCCAGCAUGAGGCCUUGGGGGUCCGAGGGUCGCUUGCGCGGUGCCCUUUCACGAGUCCACUAGUGUCUCGGUGUUCUGCGUUUGGAAUCUGGACUCCCAACGAUGAUGGGCCACUUCGGCUGCGCGGGACUAGACAGCAUCUGGGCUGGAUUCCUUGGCCAUGACCUGCGACAUCCGAGCGCUGUCCCCGGAAGGGAGCCAGCUCCUUCGCCCAGGGCCUCCUAAGCUUACUAACCAGACUAGGUGGGAGGCUUCUAAGGACCACAGGGGCGCUGAGUAGUGCCCUUGGGUGCAAUUGUUUUUAAAUCUUUUGUGGGUGCUAGCGACUUGAGAUGUUGGGCUGAAUGAUCGAGAGGAGGGGUCUAAUGUCACAGCUUUGAAGGCCACAGAGAGUGCCAUUCAGAGAGCCACUUUGAGUGGUGUGGCCUUCUACAGACUGAAGAAAUUUAUAGCGUAUAUGGGCCGCUUGAGGCCUCCAAGCCCCUGGACCCAUCGCUGUGCGUUCUGGAGAGCACUUUAUCUGGGCCUGUUUGCUAAAGUGCACAGAUGUUGCCCGCAAGACCGGCGAUGUUGGGUUUCUAUGAUCGUUUUGUAGUCAAACUGGUUUUAAAAUAGUUUACAGAUUUUUCUGAAUGGCAACGCGGUAACGGUCUCUCUCAAAUAUAAUAUGAUAGUUUUUACGUGGCCCUAAUAGGCUUGGGGCUGAUCAGUCAUGAAGUAGCUCACCAUCCUGAUUUCUGUGAGAGAAUUCACAGGUGUGCACCUACCCUUGACCCCUCCAUCUUCUUUGUAUUCUUACGGAUUCCUCUAAAGGAAUCCAGCAGCUUCACUUCAAGGUCGUGGGGCCCUAGACCUACUUGUAAACUGACCUUGUCAUACCUCAGGCUCCUGUGCUACCAGUUCCUGCUUUGUGAGUUCCUUGAUCCUAAACUAUGGUAAUGAAAGCUCCUGCUUCUUUGUGUCUCAUAUCUUUGCCCUUUGUGGUCCUCUAUUACCAAGAAACCACAGCCAGCUGGCUUUUCCUAUUGCUUGUUCAGCUUUCCUCCAGUGUAAUUUUGAAUUCUACUUUAGAAAUACUAUGGUGGGCCCUGUGGAGUGGCUCAGCCAGCAAUGAUGCUGUCAAGCCCCAGGAUGUGAGUUCAUUCCCUAACACCUAGUAAAAGUAAGAGUGGACUAAGUUGUCCUCAGAUCCCUGCACAUGUUUCACACAUCACACAACCAAUAAGAAAAAAACUAACCUUUUAUGAAUUCAGAACUUUAAAUUAUUUCGAACUUCUGUCUGACAGCCUGCAUUUUAAAGUAUGGAGCCCAGGCUGGUGGAAGUAGUGCAGAGAGCAGAACACUGGCUUAUAUGAGGUCCGAGGUUCAUCCCUUGCUCCUGGGGACAGAGGAAUCUCAACCCAGGUGAUGUUACACAGGUCUUCUGACACCCCCAUACCGGCAUACAUGCAGGCAAAACACCAAUGAACAUAAAAUAAGCCUUUAAUCCCAGCACUCAAGAGGCAGAGACAAUUGGAUCUCUGCGAGUUUGAGGCCAGCCUGGUCUGCAGAACAAGUUCCAGAACAGUCUCCAAAGCUACAGAGAAAUGAUGUCUCG